CCAUGGUAUUUGUGUAAAGUUGUUGUCACCUUGAGGUGUAAACAUCUGCAAAAUAUUUUUAAAUAACAAAGAAAGUUCAGAGACGGAAACUACGAGGAUAAUAUUCAUAGUGCUCUGCCCCAGAAGAUUAAGCGAUCUCCACACGAAAUACAAUGCAUUUAUUCCUCCUGCUAUUUGUGCUAAUAUUUCACAAAAGUGCAGAGAUGCAGCUUCAUGUCCGCCAGUUUCCAGCCAUCGUCUCAGCCUCACCAGGUGGCCGUCUGAAGGUGGUAUGUGAGGCUUCUGGCUACAGUGACCCCUAUAUGUACUGGUACCGCCAGUCUGGGUCCGCAGCACCGCAAUCCAUGUUCGUGUCGAUAACAGCUAAUUCGGUGGAGCCUGCUACUGUGGGUCAUUUCAACGCCAGCAGACCCAACAGCUCACAUAUCAUCCUGGAAGCUUUUGACUUGAAGAAGGAUGAUUCAGGCAUUUACUUCUGUGCUGCUAGUACCCACAGCGAAGCAAAUGAGUGAUGCAGCCUCACAAAAACUGGCAAGUGAAGCGUGUUACUUCAGAGAUGUGUGAGGCACCUAUUCAUACACUUGCCGGCAUAGAAAAUAUAAAAGG